AGUGAACGCUGGCGGUAGGCCUAACACAUGCAAGUCGAACGGCAGCACACUAAUAUCUUGCUCUUACGGGUGGCGGGUCGCGGACGUGUCACGUAUAUCUCGUAAUCUUCUUUUUCGGGUGGCUUCACGUAGGUAAACUUAAUCUCAUAUCGCAUAUGCCCCUCCGGUGUACGCAGUGGAUCUUCUCGCCUUUCGCGAUUGGAUGUGCCGAUGUCGGGUUAGCUAGUUGGCGGGGUAAAGGCCAACCAAGGCGACGAUCCGUAGCUGGUCUGAGAGGAUGAUCAGCCACACUGGAACUGAGACACGGUCCAGACUCCUACGGGAGGCAGCAGUGGGGAAUAUUGGACAAAGGGCGCAAGCCUGAUCCAGCCAUACCGCGUGGGUGAAGAAGGCCUUCGGGUUGUAAAGCCCUUUUGUUGGGAAAGAAAAGCAGCAGGUUAAUACCACGCUGUUCUGACGGUACCCAAAGAAUAAGCACCGGCUAACUUCGUG
rnacentral:rRNA from 1 species